GUAAAACAAGGGGAUAGCCAUUCGGAAUCCAACGAUAUCACCAAUCUUAACGGUCAUAUCAUUACCAAUAUUUUAGAAACCACCCGCGCAAAAACUCAACUAGACCAAAGAAUACUUGACCAAACAUAAUUACGACGAUACCAUCGCCUAUAACAUAUUACCAUUUUAAAUGUAUAUACAAUAUAUGAAAAAUGUGUUCAUAUAAUCAAGAAUGAUUCAAUUAUUGAGUGUGUGUUUGGUUCAGCUUCUGAAACGUGGAUCUGGGUCUCAAAAAUGGAUCUGAGUCCAAAACGUGGAUCUUCCAUGCUUUGAAGAUGUUUGGGUACCUCAAUCUGAAAAUUGAUUCAAGAUCAAAACGUGGAUCCAGCUGAUGCAAGCAAGAGUAACUUCUCCAUCAAAUACAAUCGAUUCUCCAUUAUCACGUGAAGGUGGGCAUGGAAGAAUUUCAGUUUUUCCUAUUUGCCCCUUACGAAGUCUGGUUCAUGGAA
rnacentral:lncRNA from 1 species